ensembl:lncRNA novel transcript
UAUACUCUGGUUUCUCUUCAAAUCGUAUAAAUCUUUCGCCUUUUACUAAAGAUUUCCGUGGAGAGAAACGAGUGUGAGUCUGAAACCAAUUUUUUGAGGCCUUGCGUUUCUUAGCAGGGCUUAUUUUAAGUGUUUUAAAAACAGAUGCGAUUCCGUUAAAUCGCGUGUGGAGCUAUGUAAAGUGUAUUAUAGAACAAAUGCGAGUUACGGUUUUUCAGCUUUUCGCUUUGUUAAGGUAUGUGAUAUCAAUUGUAUUGCAUUUCUGAGCAGUUAUAAUAUUAAGAUGUUGGGGUGGCUUACUGCUUUUGACCAAGAAGUAGGGUUUGUUGGUUGAUUACACCAGUGGUUUUUAACCCCAGCCACUGAGUGAUGGAGGGUUACCGACUCACAAGCGAGCAUUAACGCCUGAGGUCCGCCUGCUGUCAGGGCAGCAAGGCAUCAGAUUCUCCUAGGAGCGGGAACCCUAUUGUGAACUGCGUAUACGAGGUAUCUAGGUGCGUGCUCCUUUUAAGAAUCUAAUGGCUGAUGACGAGGGGCACAGUUUCAACCUGGAACUGUCCACACCCCCUACCCACCUUCCCCCGCCCUUGGAAAAACUGCCUUCCAUGAACUGGGUCCCUUGUGCCAGAAAGGUUGGGGACCGCUGGACUAUCCGAUCAAAUGAAGCAGGGACUCGGGGCGAGCUCCCCCGCUGCUCCCGCCGGCUUCUCCGUGUAGAAUCGAAGAAGGCAGUCCCAAGGGCUCUUCUGCCCCGUAUCCCCGCCUGAGGAGCGUGCCAGGCGCGCAGCUAGUCCUCCCCCGACCCAACCGGUUUGAUGAAACGCAAGAGAAAGUGAAUUUUCCAGCCACUCCCAUUGGCCAGAAUUCGUCUCAGCCGCAAGGGAGGCUGGGAAGUGCAGUCAUGCCUUCAGGUAGCCGUGAGCCCUGCUAGCGAUAGGAGAUUCUAGAGAGAGGUUGAGUACUGGGGAGGAAAAACUAGCAGGGUCUGUCCCAGUAAAGGAGGGAGGAAAUCCAUCGCAAAAAAUCCUGACCCCCAGGCCGGGCGCGGUGGCUCACGCCUGUAAUCCCAGCACUUUGGGAGGCCGAGGCGGGCGGAUCACCUGCGGAUCACCUGAGGUCAGGAGUUCGAGACUGGCCUGGCCAACAUGGAGAAACCCCGUCUCUACUAAAAAUACAAAAA